rnacentral:rRNA from 1 species
GGGUUGUGAGGUUAAGCGACUAAGCGUACACGGUGGAUGCCCUGGCAGUCAGAGGCGAUGAAGGACGUGCUAAUCUGCGAUAAGCGUCGGUAAGGUGAUAUGAACCGUUAUAACCGGCGAUUUCCGAAUGGGGAAACCCAGUGUGAUUCGUCACACUAUCAUUAACUGAAUCCAUAGGUUAAUGAGGCGAACCGGGGGAACUGAAACAUCUAAGUACCCCGAGGAAAAGAAAUCAACCGAGAUUCCCCCAGUAGCGGCGAGCGAACGGGGAGCAGCCCAGAGCCUGAAUCAGUGUGUGUGUUAGUGGAAGCGUCUGGAAAGGCGCGCGAUACAGGGUGACAGCCCCGUACACAAAAAUGCACAUGCUGUGAGCUCGAUGAGUAGGGCGGGACACGUGGUAUCCUGUCUGAAUAUGGGGGGACCAUCCUCCAAGGCUAAAUACUCCUGACUGACCGAUAGUGAACCAGUACCGUGAGGGAAAGGCGAAAAGAACCCCGGCGAGGGGAGUGAAAAAGAACCUGAAACCGUGUACGUACAAGCAGUGGGAGCACGCUUCGGCGUGUGACUGCGUACCUUUUGUAUAAUGGGUCAGCGACUUAUAUUCUGUAGCAAGGUUAACCGAAUAGGGGAGCCGAAGGGAAACCGAGUCUUAACUGGGCGUUAAGUUGCAGGGUAUAGACCCGAAACCCGGUGAUCUAGCCAUGGGCAGGUUGAAGGUUGGGUAACACUAACUGGAGGACCGAACCGACUAAUGUUGAAAAAUUAGCGGAUGACUUGUGGCUGGGGGUGAAAGGCCAAUCAAACCGGGAGAUAGCUGGUUCUCCCCGAAAGCUAUUUAGGUAGCGCCUCGUGAAUUCAUCUCCGGGGGUAGAGCACUGUUUCGGCAAGGGGGUCAUCCCGACUUACCAACCCGAUGCAAACUGCGAAUACCGGAGAAUGUUAUCACGGGAGACACACGGCGGGUGCUAACGUCCGUCGUGAAGAGGGAAACAACCCAGACCGCCAGCUAAGGUCCCAAAGUCAUGGUUAAGUGGGAAACGAUGUGGGAAGGCCCAGACAGCCAGGAUGUUGGCUUAGAAGCAGCCAUCAUUUAAAGAAAGCGUAAUAGCUCACUGGUCGAGUCGGCCUGCGCGGAAGAUGUAACGGGGCUAAACCAUGCACCGAAGCUGCGGCAGCGACACUAUGUGUUGUUGGGUAGGGGAGCGUUCUGUAAGCCUGUGAAGGUGUACUGUGAGGUAUGCUGGAGGUAUCAGAAGUGCGAAUGCUGACAUAAGUAACGAUAAAGCGGGUGAAAAGCCCGCUCGCCGGAAGACCAAGGGUUCCUGUCCAACGUUAAUCGGGGCAGGGUGAGUCGACCCCUAAGGCGAGGCCGAAAGGCGUAGUCGAUGGGAAACAGGUUAAUAUUCCUGUACUUGGUGUUACUGCGAAGGGGGGACGGAGAAGGCUAUGUUGGCCGGGCGACGGUUGUCCCGGUUUAAGCGUGUAGGCUGGUUUUCCAGGCAAAUCCGGAAAAUCAAGGCUGAGGCGUGAUGACGAGGCACUACGGUGCUGAAGCAACAAAUGCCCUGCUUCCAGGAAAAGCCUCUAAGCAUCAGGUAACAUCAAAUCGUACCCCAAACCGACACAGGUGGUCAGGUAGAGAAUACCAAGGCGCUUGAGAGAACUCGGGUGAAGGAACUAGGCAAAAUGGUGCCGUAACUUCGGGAGAAGGCACGCUGAUAUGUAGGUGAAGCGACUUGCUCGUGGAGCUGAAAUCAGUCGAAGAUACCAGCUGGCUGCAACUGUUUAUUAAAAACACAGCACUGUGCAAACACGAAAGUGGACGUAUACGGUGUGACGCCUGCCCGGUGCCGGAAGGUUAAUUGAUGGGGUUAGCGGUAACGCGAAGCUCUUGAUCGAAGCCCCGGUAAACGGCGGCCGUAACUAUAACGGUCCUAAGGUAGCGAAAUUCCUUGUCGGGUAAGUUCCGACCUGCACGAAUGGCGUAAUGAUGGCCAGGCUGUCUCCACCCGAGACUCAGUGAAAUUGAACUCGCUGUGAAGAUGCAGUGUACCCGCGGCAAGACGGAAAGACCCCGUGAACCUUUACUAUAGCUUGACACUGAACAUUGAGCCUUGAUGUGUAGGAUAGGUGGGAGGCUUUGAAGUGUGGACGCCAGUCUGCAUGGAGCCGACCUUGAAAUACCACCCUUUAAUGUUUGAUGUUCUAACGUUGGCCCGUGAUCCGGGUUGCGGACAGUGUCUGGUGGGUAGUUUGACUGGGGCGGUCUCCUCCUAAAGAGUAACGGAGGAGCACGAAGGUUGGCUAAUCCUGGUCGGACAUCAGGAGGUUAGUGCAAUGGCAUAAGCCAGCUUGACUGCGAGCGUGACGGCGCGAGCAGGUGCGAAAGCAGGUCAUAGUGAUCCGGUGGUUCUGAAUGGAAGGGCCAUCGCUCAACGGAUAAAAGGUACUCCGGGGAUAACAGGCUGAUACCGCCCAAGAGUUCAUAUCGACGGCGGUGUUUGGCACCUCGAUGUCGGCUCAUCACAUCCUGGGGCUGAAGUAGGUCCCAAGGGUAUGGCUGUUCGCCAUUUAAAGUGGUACGCGAGCUGGGUUUAGAACGUCGUGAGACAGUUCGGUCCCUAUCUGCCGUGGGCGCUGGAGAACUGAGGGGGGCUGCUCCUAGUACGAGAGGACCGGAGUGGACGCAUCACUGGUGUUCGGGUUGUCAUGCCAAUGGCACUGCCCGGUAGCUAAAUGCGGAAGAGAUAAGUGCUGAAAGCAUCUAAGCACGAAACUUGCCCCGAGAUGAGUUCUCCCUGACUCCUUGAGAGUCCUGAAGGAACGUUGAAGACGACGACGUUGAUAGGCCGGGUGUGUAAGCGCAGCGAUGCGUUGAGCUAACCGGUACUAAUGAACCGUGAGGCUUAACCUUACAACGCCGAAG